rnacentral:rRNA from 1 species
AUUGAACGCUGGCGGCAGGCUUAACACAUGCAAGUCGAGCGAGCGGCGGACGGGUGAGUAAUGUCUGGGAAACUGCCUGAUGGAGGGGGAUAACUACUGGAAACGGUGGCUAAUACCGCAUACUAUCAGAUGAGCCCAGAUGGGAUUAGCUAGUAGGUGGGGUAAUGGCUCACCUAGGCGACGAUCCCUAGCUGGUCUGAGAGGAUGACCAGCCACACUGGAACUGAGACACGGUCCAGACUCCUACGGGAGGCAGCAGUGGGGAAUAUUGCACAAUGGGCGCAAGCCUGAUGCAGCCAUGCCGCGUGUGUGAAGAAGGCCUUCGGGUUGUAAAGCACUUUCAGCGAGGAGGCGUUACUCGCAGAAGAAGCACCGGCUAACUCCGUGCCAGCAGCCGCGGUAAUUC